UCGGGUUUCGCGAUAUUCGAACUGUGCUUCCCGGAGCCUAUUGCUACCGAGUUCGUUGUCGACGAAACCUGCAC
rnacentral:pre_miRNA from 1 species